rnacentral:tRNA from 1 species
AGUCUUAUAGUCAUUAUAAUGAUUUAAAAUUGCAAAUUUUAAGGAAAAAUUUUAUUUUUAAGGCUU